rnacentral:rRNA from 1 species
UACGGAGGGUGCAAGCGUUAUCCGGAUUCACUGGGUUUAAAGGGUGCGUAGGCGGGAAAUUAAGUCAGUGGUGAAAGCCCCAGGCUCAACUUGGGAACUGCCAUUGAUACUGAUUUUCUUGAAUGUGUUUGAGGUAGGCGGAAUGUUGCAUGUAGCGGUGAAAUGCUUAGAUAUGUUACAGAACACCAAUUGUGAAGACAGCUUACUAAAACAUGAUUGACGCUGAGGCACGAAAGCGUGGGGAGCAAACAGG